rnacentral:rRNA from 1 species
GGGAUGGACGGACCUCUGGUGUGCCAGUUGUUCUGCCAAGAGCACGGCUGGUUAGCUACGUUCGGAAGUGAUAACCGCUGAAAGCAUCUAAGCGGGAAGCACGUUUCAAGAUGAGGUUUCCCACAGGGUCAACCUGGUAAGGCCCCCAGCAGAUGACUGGGUUGAUAGGCCGGAGGUAGAAGGCAGCGAUGCACGGAGCCGACCGGUACUAAUAGGCCGAGGGCUUGUCCCACACACAA